GACGAACGCUGGCGGCGUGCUUAACACAUGCCAGUCGAACGGAAAGGCCCUGCUUUUGUGGGGUGCUCGAGUGGCGAACGGGUGAGUAACACGUGAGUAACCUGCCCUUGACUUUGGGAUAACUUCAGGAAACUGGGGCUAAUACCGGAUAGGAGCUCCUGCUGCAUGGUGGGGGUUGGAAAGUUUCGGCGGUUGGGGAUGGACUCGCGGCUUAUCAGCUUGUUGGUGGGGUAGUGGCUUACCAAGGCUUUGACGGGUAGCCGGCCUGAGAGGGUGACCGGCCACAUUGGGACUGAGAUACGGCCCAGACUCCUACGGGAGGCAGCAGUGGGGAAUAUUGCACAAUGGGCGGAAGCCUGAUGCAGCAACGCCGCGUGCGGGAUGACGGCCUUCGGGUUGUAAACCGCUUUCGCCUGUGACGAAGCGUGAGUGACGGUAAUGGGUGAAGAAGCACCGGCUAACUACGUG
rnacentral:rRNA from 1 species